rnacentral:rRNA from 1 species
UACCAGCACCCCGAGUGGUCGGGACGAUUAUUGGGCCUAAAGCAUCCGUAGCCGGUCCUGCAAGUCUUCCGUUAAAUCCAGCUGCUCAACAGAUGGGCUGCGGAGGAUACUACAGGGCUAGGAGGCGGAGAGGCAAGCGGUACUUUAUGGGUAGGGGUAAAAUCCGUUGAUCCAUAGAAGACCACCAGUGGCGAAGGCGGCUUGCCAGAACGCGCUCGACGGUGAGGGAUGAAAGCUGGGGGGAGCAAAACCGG